UACAGAGGUCCCAAGCGUUGUUCGGAUUCACUGGGCGUAAAGGGCGCGUAGGCGGCUGGGUAAGUCGGCGGUGAAAGCCCGGAGCUCAACUCCGGGUCGGCCGUCGAGACUCCUCGGCUCGAGCUCACUAGAGGCAGAUGGAAUUCCGGGUGUAGCGGUGGAAUGCGUAGAGAUCCGGAAGAACACCGGUGGCGAAGGCGGUCUGCUGGGGUGAGGCUGACGCUGAUGCGCGACAGCGUGGGGAGCAAACAGG
rnacentral:rRNA from 1 species